CUUUCAACAGGCGCCAAUUUUCUGCUUUCACCAAGUACCAAUAUCAUGCGUGACCUGCUGCAGAAGUUUGCACGCAGGGACAUGCCUGAAGGCAAGCAGAUCAAACUUCAAAAACUGUUUAUUGUGCUGCUGGGU
rnacentral:rRNA from 1 species